GUGUCAGCCGCCGCGGUAAAACGUAGGAGGCUAGCGUUAUCCGGAUUUACUGGGCGUAAAGCGCGUGCAGGCGGUGUUCUAAGUUGGGCAUAAAAUCUCCCGGCUCAACUGGGAGGGGCUGUCCAAUACUGGGGCACUUGAGGGUAGGAGAGGGAAGUGGAAUUCCCGGUGUAGCGGUAAUAUGCGCAGAUAUCGGGAGGAACACCAGUGGCGAAGGCGGCUUCCUGGUCUACACCUGACGCUAAGACGCGAAAGCUAGGGGAGCGAACGGGAUUAGAUACCCCGGUAGUCCUAGCUGUAAACGAUGGAUACUAGGUGUUGGUGGUAUUGACCCCAUCAGCGCCGAAGCUAACGCGUUAAGUAUCCCGCCUGGGGACUACGACCGCAAGGUUAAAACUUAAAGGAAUUGACGGGG
rnacentral:rRNA from 1 species